ACAAGAAGAAAUGUCCUAGUGGUGGUGCAAAUGACCAUCACAGUAGCACAGCUGGUCCCUGAAAAUUCUCAUCUGACUAUGCACAUCCACUAAACUUUAAAGGCUUUACACAUUGGUGAGGAACGCAUGAAAAUACAGCCAUCAGAGAGAAAAGUUCCAAGGGAAUAACUGGACUCAGGGCCUACAUUUCAUAUGUUUUCAGAAGAAAAAGGUCCCCUAAGCACGAAAUAAUGUUCUCCCUGGAUUACGAUGAUCAUCUGAGAACAGAAGAUGAAAAGGUGCAGAGGAAGCAAGGGUAAUAUCCUGUUGUCUGCUGUGCACCUCCCUCUCAACACUACAACUGUUUGAGAAAAACAGUCUGAAAGU